AUACUUGCCUGGCCGGGGAGAUACCAUGGUCACGAAUGUGGUUUUCCCAGGGCGCGGCUUAUAGAUUGCACUCCGGAUGUGUUGACCCCUGCAAGUUCCUCAAAUGUGGGAAACUUGACUGUAUAAUUUGUGGUAUUCAGAGGUUGUGUUUGCCCUCUCCUCUG